rnacentral:tRNA from 1 species
GUUAGUGGAGUAAUGGUAAUACGCUCGCCUCGCAUGUCAGAUGUCCCGGGUUCAAAUCCCGGCACGGCCA